rnacentral:rRNA from 1 species
UACGUAGGGUGCAAGCGUUGUCCGGAAUUAUUGGGCGUAAAGAGCUGCGUAGGCGGUUUGUUGCGUUCGGCUGUGAAAUCCCGAGGCUCAACCCUCGGGUCUGCGAGUCGAUACGAGCAAACUAGAGUGUUGCAGGGGAGACUGGGAAUUCCUGGUGAUAGCGGUGAAAUGACGCAGAUAUCAGGAGGAACACCGGUGGCGAAGGCGGGUCUCUGGGCAACAACUGACGCUGGAGGAGCGAAAGCGUGGGGAGCGAACAGG